rnacentral:lncRNA from 1 species
CGGUGCACCCACUGUUAAACCUGUAGAAUUUGAACUCUCCCACCGUUGAGAAGGACAUGCACCCUUCUGCACGAGUGAUUUCCUUAACCCCCGUUGAUCUAGACUUCGAGAAAAUAUCAACACUCCUCACUUUGGGAUUUUCUUCCACCACAACCUCGUGACACUCAGUCUCCGUCUGAACCAACUUCCUCUGAGACUCAUGUGCUUUCUCA